UUGUCCUACGGGGGGCAGCAGUAAGGGAUAUUGGUCAAUGGGGGAAACCCUGAACCAGCAACGCCGCGUGAGGGAAGACGGUUUUCGGAUUGUAAACCUCUGUCCUCUGUGAAGAUGAUGACGGUAGCAGAGGAGGAAGCUCCGGCUAACUACGUGCCAGCAGCCGCGGUAAUACGUAGGGGGCAAGCGUUAUCCGGAUUUACUGGGUGUAAAGGGAGCGUAGACGGCAUGGCAAGUCAGAUGUGAAAGCCCGGGGCUCAACCCCGGGACUGCAUUUGAAACUGUCAGGCUGGAGUGCCGGAGAG
rnacentral:rRNA from 1 species